AUUGAACGCUGGCGGCAGGCCUAACACAUGCAAGUCGAACGGUAGCACAGAGAGCUUGCUCUCGGGUGACGAGUGGCGGACGGGUGAGUAAUGUCUGGGAAACUGCCCGAUGGAGGGGGAUAACUACUGGAAACGGUAGCUAAUACCGCAUAACGUCGCAAGACCAAAGUGGGGGACCUUCGGGCCUCACACCAUCGGAUGUGCCCAGAUGGGAUUAGCUAGUAGGUGGGGUAAUGGCUCACCUAGGCGACGAUCCCUAGCUGGUCUGAGAGGAAGACCAGCCAAACUGGAACUGGGACACGGUCCAGACUCCUACGGGAGGCAGCAGUGGUGAAUAUUGCACAAUGGGCGCAAGCCUGAUGCAGCCAUGCCGCGUGUAUGAAGAAGGCCUUCGGGUUGUAAAGUACUUUCAGCGGGGAGGAAGGCGGUGGAGUUAAUAGCUUCACCGAUUGACGUUACCCGCAGAAGAAGCACCGGCUAACUCCGUGCCAGCAGCCGCCGCCG
rnacentral:rRNA from 1 species